rnacentral:rRNA from 1 species
GAUACCCUAUUAUUUUAGAUGUUAUUAAUUUUCUAUAAUUAUUAUUAGUUAAGUUCUUUAAAAUUAAACAAUUUGGCGGUAUUUUAGUCUAUUCAGAGGAACCUGUUUUUUGAUUGAUGGUCCACGAUAAUUUUUACUUUGGCUUUAAAUUUAUAUAUCGUCGUUGUUAAAAAUUUUUGGAGGAUUAUAAUUUUUAAGAUUUUUUAUUUAGGAUAAAUUCAGAUCAAGGUGUAGUUUAUGCUUAAGUUAAAAUGGGUUACAUUUCAUUUAUGAUUGGUUCUUUUUUUUAAAUUUUUUGAUAAAUUGGAUUUGAGGGUAAAUUCUUUAUUUUUGGGAGUUGAUUUAGCUCUAAAAUAUGCACACAUCGCC